rnacentral:rRNA from 1 species
GCCGCGCGUCCAUCCACCAGGGCCUAUCUAUCUAUAUAAACGACCGGGCACGCGCCUCAACUCAACCAUCUCACACAAAGUCCCAAAGCAAUUUGGAAGCAUCAUCCAUCCUAGCUAGGCUCCUGGUAGCUUACUUAAGCAAGGAAGAAGAAGAAGCAGCAGCAGCAGCAGCUCAAGAAGAGUUGAGGAGAGGAGGAGCUGAUAAGAAAUGGCGUCCAUGAUGGGAGGAGACUUCGUGGAGGCCUACGUGCUCAAGAACGCCUACAAGGAGAAGAUGAAGCGCAUGGACCAAGUGGAAGCUGCGGCAGCGGCGCCCGGCAGCGCAAAGAGCGGCAAGGACAAGGAGGCUGCCGGCGCCGCUGGAGAGAAGAAGGCUGCUGGUGGUGGUGGUGCGAGCAGCAGGGGAGGCUUCUUUGGCCUCAUGAAGAAGAAGGUGCACCCCAAACCCAAAGCGGCGGCGGCGCCCACUUCCUCUUGAUUAUAUUGCUACUGUAUUUGCCAUGCCACGAAAUUGUAAGCCGCAGCUGGUAGAACUGGCCGCAGCUUUCUUCUAGCUAGGAGCGUGCGUGUGUGUAAGUUUGUUCUUUCGAUCAGCUUCUCUUGGAGGAGUGUGUAAAGCAAGUUCUUUUGUUAAUUGGUCAAAACAAGUUGACAGAAAUUAAGUCAAGGAUAAUCCUUCAUUAGUUGGGUUGACUUCCGUUUUUACCUGUCUGCACUAUGAGAUGUUUGGCUAUCAGUACAGACAUGUGGCUGUUUGGUUCC